CUGCCUGCCAGGCCGGAAACUUGUCGCGUCCGUGCGUUUUGGACUGCUCCUGCUUGCUGGCCCAACGUUUUGCACUUUUUCUUUACUUGGCCUCUGGCUCUGGAUAUGAUGGUCGGUAUGGUAUGGCCGGGCACAGCGCACAGUUCCCUUCUUCUACUGCUACCACCUUUUUUCAGACUAUGGGACUCUCCGGUAAGAUACUAGGGGUGCGCGGUGCGUUUGUGAAAACAAAAUGCUGUGAAAAAACUGUUGUCAGAAUAAAA
rnacentral:lncRNA from 7 species